rnacentral:lncRNA from 1 species
UUUCAAGUGUUAAGGGUUAACGGGUUGCUGGACCCCUAUGGAUCCCCAUGGAUACUAAUGGGCUGGUAAAUGAGGAAAAUAUGUUGUGUAACGAUUGAAUUACAAAAAGGCUUGAUAAGUAUUAUGUUAUACAGUUUAUAUAUGAUUUCAUGAUGAUGAUAAUGUUAUUACUUUCAUAUGUUGUUUUAUGAAUUUCACCGAGGUAAGUGGAUGGUGAAGGAUUUAUU